rnacentral:pre_miRNA from 1 species
UUGGUUUGUCCUAAGUCAAACUUGUUCAACUUUGACCAAGUUUAUAGAAAAAUAUAACAACAACUAUAUUAUCAAACAUAUGCACUAUCAAAACAUAUUCCAUGAUGGAUUCAACCAAAAAAUUUCGUAUUGUAAAUAUUUUUAUAUUUUUCCUAUAAACUUGGUCAAAGUCGAACAAGGUUGACUUAGGACAAACCAAA